rnacentral:rRNA from 1 species
ACUCCUACGGGAGGCAGCAGUGAGGGAUAUUGCACAAUGGGGGAAACCCUGAUGCAGCGACGCCGCGUGGGUGAUGAAGGCUUUCGGGUCGUAAAACCCUUUUUGGCAUGACGAGAACGGACGGUAGUGCCAGAAUAAGUCUCGGCUAACUACGUGCCAGCAGCCGCGGUAAAACGUAGGAGGCAAGCGUUAUCCGGAGUUACUGGGCGUAAAGGGUGCGUAGGCGGCUCAUCAAGUGGGACGUGAAAGCUCACGGCUAAACUGUGAGAGGACGACUCAGACUGAAGGGCUAGAGGGUGUCAGAGGCGUGCGGAAUUCGGGGUGUAGCGGUGAAAUGUGUAGAGAUCCCGAGGAACACCAGUGGUGCAAACGGCGCGCUGGGACACAACUGACGCUGAAGCACGAAAGCGUGGGGAGCGAACGGGAUUAGAGACCCCGGUAGUCCACGCCGUAAACGAUGUCAACUAGGUGUCUGCAAGGGGAAACSUGAGUGGGUGUCAAAGCUAACGCGAUAAGUUGACCGCCUGGGGAGUACGGUCGCAAGGCUAAAACUCAAAGGAAUUGACGGGGGCCCGCACAAGCAGCGGAGCGUGUGGUUUAAUUCGAGGCUACGCGAAGAACCUUACCUGGGUUUGACAUCACGGUGGUAGGGCGACGAAAGUCAACCGACCUUCGGGAGCCGUGACAGGUGCUGCAUGGCUGUCGUCAGCUCGUGUCGUGAGAUGUUCGGUUAAGUCCGAAAACGAGCGCAACCCUCGGCGUUAGUUACACGUGUCUAACGCGACCGCCCUCGAGAAGGGGGAGGAAGGUGGGGAUGACGUCAAGUCAGCAUGGCCUUUAUAUCCAGGGCUACACACACGCUACAAUGGGGGACACAAUGGGCAGCGAAGGGGCGACCUGGAGCCAAUCCACCAAAGUCUUUCGUAGUUCGGAUUGCAGGCUGCAACUCGCCUGCAUGAAGCUGGAGUUGCUAGUAACCGUGCAUCAGCUACGGCACGGUGAAUACGUUCCCGGGCCUUGUACACACCGCCCGU